AACGCACCUUGCGCCCCUUGGUACUCCGAGGGGCAUGCCUGUUUGAGUGUCGUUGAAAAUAUCUCAACCUGACCAUUUUACUCUGGCUCGGGCUUGGAAUUUGGAGAGUGCCGGCAGGACUCGGCUCCUCUGAAAGUCAUUAGUGAACAACGCUAGUUCUGCGUCGCGGCAUUGAUAGAUCUAUUUGUCUAUGCCAUUUGGCCACAAUUGGUGUGUUUGCUUAUAACGUAACGUGAUCCUCUGGAUCUUUCUACAACAAUCACCUCAAAUCAGGUAGGACUACCCGCUGAACUUAA
rnacentral:misc_RNA from 1 species